AGUGAACGCUGGCGGUAGGCCUAACACAUGCAAGUCGAACGGCAGCACGGUAAGAGCUUGCUCUUAUGGGUGGCGAGUGGCGGACGGGUGAGGAAUACAUCGGAAUCUACCUUUUGGUGGGGGAUAACGUAGGGAAACUUACGCUAAUACCGCAUACGCCCUUCGGGGGAAAGCCGGGGACCAGCAAUGGCCUGGUGCUGAUAGAUGAGCCGAUGUCGGAUUAGCUAGUUGGUGAGGUAAUGGCUCACCAAGGCGACGAUCCGUAGCUGGUCUGAGAGGAUGAUCAGCCACACUGGAACUGAGACACGGUCCAGACUCCUACGGGAGGCAGCAGUGGGGAAUAUUGGACAAUGGGCGCAAGCCUGAUCCAGCCAUACCGCGUGGGUGAAGAAGGCCUUCGGGUUGUAAAGCCCUUUUGUUGGGAAAGAAAAGCAUUCGGUUAAUACCCGGGUGUUCUGACGGUACCCAAAGAAUAAGCACCGGCUAACUUCGUGCCAGCAGCCGCGGUAAUACGAAGGGUGCAAGCGUUACUCGGAAUUACUGGGCGUAAAGCGUGCGUAGGUGGUGGUUUAAGUCCGUUGUGAAAGCCCUGGGCUCAACCUGGGAAUUGCAGUGGAUACUGGAUCACUAGAGUGUGGUAGAGGAUAGUGGAAUUUCCGGUGUAGCAGUGAAAUGCGUAGAGAUCGGAAGGAACAUCUGUGGCGAAYGCGACUAUCUGGACCAACACUGACACUGA
rnacentral:rRNA from 1 species